AUUGAACGCUGGCGGCAGGCCUAACACAUGCAAGUCGAGCGAGCGGCGGACGGGUGAGUACUGUAUGGGGACUGCCCGAUAGAUGGGGAUAACUACUGGAAACGGUGGCUAAUACCGCAUACUAUCGGAUAACCCAUAUGGGAUUAGCUAGUAGGUGGGGUAAAGGCUCACCUAGGCGACGAUCUCUAGCGGGUCUGAGAGGAUGAUCGGCCACACUGGGACUGAGGCGCGGCCCGGACUCCUGCGGAGGCAGCAGUGGGGAAUAUUGAACAGUGGGCGCAAGCCUGAUGCAGCCAUGCCGCGUGUAUGAAGGAGGCCUUAGGGUUGUGAAGUACUUUCAGCGGGGAGGCGUUACCCGCAGAAGAAGCACCGGCUAACUCCGUGCCAGCCGCCGCGGUAAUUC
rnacentral:rRNA from 1 species